rnacentral:antisense_RNA from 1 species
CUUGAGCGAGCCCAGCCACAGCGGCCGGUCGGGUGUCCGGUGCCGACCGUAGGCCUCCAUCAGCGCCUGCGCCUC